rnacentral:rRNA from 1 species
GACGAACGCUGGCGGCGUGCUUAACACAUGCAAGUCGAACGGAAAGGCCCUGCUUGCAGGGUACUCGAGUGGCGAACGGGUGAGUAACACGUGGGUGAUCUGCCCUGCACUUCGGGAUAAGCCUGGGAAACUGGGUCUAAUACCGGAUAGGAGCCAUUUUUAGUGUGAUGGUUGGAAAGUUUUUUCGGUGUAGGAUGAGCUCGCGGCCUAUCAGCUUGUUGGUGGGGUAAUGGCCUACCAAGGCGGCGACGGGUAGCCGGCCUGAGAGGGUGGACGGCCACAUUGGGACUGAGAUACGGCCCAGACUCCUACGGGAGGCAGCAGUGGGGAAGAUUGCACAAUGGGCGCAAGCCGGAUGCAGCGACGCCGCGUGGGGGAUGACGGCCUUCGGGUUGUAAACUCCUUUCGCUAGGGACGAAGCUUUUUGUGACGGUACCUAGAUAAGAAGCACCGGCUAACUACGUG